rnacentral:lncRNA from 1 species
UGCAGAUGGUCCUGUGGUUUCACUUCCUAUUUGGUUUCUGAACUCUCUGAGCACGAGACUUGGAGACGUGGAGUCCUUUCACUGCAGCUUUCAAAACCUUUCUUAGGGCUGAUAUGACAAUUGCUGGCACUGCGUAAUUGCUGUGUGGCUACUUGAAAACUUCUCCACUAGAGACUCACUGAGAGCACCUAUUCUGUUGAAUGGAUUUGGCACAAGGAGGAGGAGAGAAGACAAAUGGCCUGGGCUGGUAAGAGACAAAAGUGCCGUGUGUGAGUCUUGGCCCACCUACCUGCUGUGAGACUCUGGGCAAAUCACCUGGUCCCUCUCUUCCCACAUCUUCUGAUGAGCCUUGCUGCCUAUUUCCUGAGUAGCUCAGUGGCCACCAGAGACCCCAGGCUCUUUAUCAACAUUUCAAGAUUGUGUAAGUUCUGGCAUUUUGUACAUUAUCAAAAAGAGAAGGCUAAGACCUAAGUCAGGCUAAAUUUGAUUCAGGAAAACACCUGACGUUUUUGUACUUAAGUAUCGAGGGGUAAAUCACAUCUUUUGCACCUGAAUCCGUAAGAACUGUGGCCUAACCCUCUUCUUCUGGAGAACUCACUUUCCUGUCUUUCUGAGACUCCAGCUAGAUAGUCCUUUGGCAGAUGUUGACCCCAUACUACCUUCUCCGUGGGCAACAUCUGAGUGCAUGGUCUACCUUAGUGAAGGACCUCUCCUUGCCCCUGAAGCACUUCUAUCAUCCUGGACCUCAACGUGGAAUGGUGACCCCUACCUGCCCCACCAGUCACGACCACCUUCUUCCAGCACCUCCAAUGUGUCUGCCCUCCAGCACCACCUGCUCCCAACGUAAGACUGCUGGGAUUAGCCCAGAGACCAUGUCCCAACAAAAUGCCACCAGGAACUCAUGUGGGACGGAGCUGGAAGAUGCCAGCGGUUGCCCCUUCCCCAUGUUAGUGCCUCUUUUCUCCGCACCAACCCUCAGUUCACACCAGAAUGAGACUGCCUGCAUUCACUUUCUGCUCUUACUUCAGAGAAUGUGGCUUAUUCUCAGGCAAUGAACCAGAGGACAACAGACAUUUUCUUUGAGGGAAAUGCAACUUUUUGAAAUUAAAAGGGCAUUUUGUUUUAAUUGAAGAACAUUCAGAUCAGAAACUGGGUUAAAAAUAAACACUGCAGAGCCAGACACAGUGGCUCAGGCCUGUAAUCUUAGCAUUUUGGGAGGCCAAGGCAGGUGGAUCACUUGAGGCCAGGAGUUCAAGACCAGCCUGGCCAACAUGGCAAAAGCCAUCUCUACUAAAAAUAUAAAAAUUAGCAGGGCAUGGUGGCAUCGGCCUGUAAUCCCAGCUACCUGGGAGGCCGAGGCAUGAGAAUCGCUUGAACCUGGGAAGCGGAGGUUGCAGUGAGCCGAGAUCAUGCCACCACACUCCAGCCUGGGCAACAGAGCGAGACUCUGUCUCAAAAUAAAAUAAAAUAAAAUAAUAAGUAAACCCUGCAGAAUCUGAGAGAACAGAGCUCUCGAUGUGGGGGUCUGAUCAGUUUUCCAAGCGUCAACAGACUGGUCCUUCCUAGGAUGCGUGUUUCUUCUGCGGUCGUGUUUACACAUUGGUUUCUGGCAAGAGCAAAGUGUUUGCUUGUGACCUUAAAUAAAAUGCAGAC